UUUCAGUGAUGAUAACUUUGACCAGUUCUGCUACUGAAUGGAAGUGGUGAUAUUUUAAGUUCUGAGAAAA
ensembl:snoRNA